GGAUACCGGAUUCCAAUCAAUGGACUUAUUCCAAUCUCCUAAAACAAAAUGGAUACCGGAUGCCAAUCAAUGGACUUACACCAAUCUCCUAAAACAAAGAGAAACAUGGAUACCAGAUGCCAAUCAAUGGACUUAUACUAGUCUCCUACCAUAUCAUAGGAAACAACUGCCAAUCAAUGGACUUAUGCUUGCCUCCUCCAUGGACAAAACAAAAUGUUACAAAGUAA
rnacentral:lncRNA from 1 species